UCGGGAAUUUUGGACAAUGGGCGCAAGCCUGAUCCAGCCAUGCCGCGUGAGUGACGAAGGCCUUAGGGUUGUAAAGCUCUUUUGGCGGGGAAGAUAAUGACGGUACCCGCAGAAUAAGCUCUGGCUAACUUCGUGCCAGCAGCCGCGGUAAUACGAAGGGAGCUAGCGUUGUUCGGAAUCACUGGGCGUAAAGCGCACGUAGGUGGAUAGUUAAGUGAGGGGUGAAAGCCCGAGGCUCAACCUCGGAAUUGCCUCUCAUACUGGCUGUCUCGAGUCCGAGAGAGGUGGGUGGAAUUCCUAGUGUAGAGGUGAAAUUCGUAGAUAUUAGGAAGAACACCGGUGGCGAAGGCGGCCCACUGGCUCGGUACUGACACUGAGGUGCGAAAGCGUGGGGAGCAAACAGGAUUAGAUACCCGCGUAGUCCCUGAGCGGGCUGGCAAGGCGCAU
rnacentral:rRNA from 1 species